rnacentral:misc_RNA from 1 species
AGACAUGUCAGAUCUACGCC